rnacentral:rRNA from 1 species
CAUGCCGCGUGUAUGAAGAAGGCCUUCGGGUUGUAAAGUACUUUCAGCGGGGAGGAAGGGAGUAAAGUUAAUACCUUUGCUCAUUGACGUUACCCGCAGAAGAAGCACCGGCUAACUCCGUGCCAGCCACUUCGGUGACUGAGCGGGCUGGCAAGGCGCAUA